rnacentral:sRNA from 1 species
GCCUGGUAUGGUGGUGCACACCUGUAAUCCUUAUAACUUGGGAGGCUGAGGCCAGAGGAUCACAAUUUAGAGACCAGCCUCAGCCACUUAGUGAGACCUUGUCUCCA